rnacentral:lncRNA from 1 species
UUGCUUUUUGGUCAAACUGUCAAUCAUAUGCUUUUAAAAGUUCUUUAUUAUAACCAAAAUUUAAUUUUCUUUCCAGAUAUGUAUAUUUUAUUGCAAUUUAGAAGGUGUUAAUUAUAUUUUUUGGUCUAGAAUGAAUUACCAUUCAUGCUGCUGAAGUUUACACUAUGGAAAUUAACGAAAUAUUACUAAAAAACAAGCCUAUGGCGGUGUCUAUUUCAAGAUGAAUAAUAAACAAAAUUCAAUUGUCUAUUUGUUGAUAUAAGUUGUAAAGCAUGAUGACCUCUGGCAUUUACGAGGUUUGGUGUUGAAAACUGCAGACCAUGAUUAUCACCCACAGUUGCGCACAGUUUUCUGUACUGCUUUCGCUAGCAAACGCCAGUGCUUGCAUUUGAUUGGUCUAACGGCGUUUCUUUUGCUAAUUGAGAGCACUGUUCAGUUUUAUUUUGGUUUCUGUGUAUUUUGUUGAUUUUGUUGUCGAAUUUGGUGGUAUUAGGCAAGGUAUUAGGCAUUAUUCAGUCACACAGUUCCCGUGGUAUUAUGGUAAGCAAUUUUAAUGUUUUAUUGUGAUAGGCUACGUGUGCCAGAUUGGGUGAUUUUGUUUUAAGUUUUUGUUCUAUGGUUUAGUUGAGAUGCAAAUCACCAGUGCAGAGUUUGUUGCGAGGUCAAGGCGUACCUACAUUGUUUGUUUUUAUUGAUUUGUCAUGCCUCAAUUACCAAUCCUUCGAAGUAUGUAGUCUAUCGCAAGUCUUUAUAAACCUAAUACCUAGAUUCAUUUUGUGUAUCCGCUCUCUUUGCGCGCUUCCAUGGUGUUCUCCCUCUCGAUUCCAUCCUCUUCUUCUCCGCGUAUCAACCCCCUGCUUCGGAUGGCCAUUGAGGUAGGUGCCUUUGGAGCUUGCAGCAAUGAGCGUUAGAAUUAAAUUACCAGAAAUAAAUGAUGCUGUGAAAAUUAAUCAACAAAAGCUGACAAGGAUUAGCUAUUAAAAUAUUAUAUCACUAAAAAAGUAUAUUUGUGUAACUAUCAUGAGAUACAUGUCCUGCCCCUCUGGCCAAUCCUGGUCAAUCCUGCUCCGGGUUGUACAGACAACUACCCUAUGUGGGAAGCCUGAAGCUCCCCCAGGAGUAUGGCCAUAAUAGCUGGGUUUGGUGAGUGUCACAGGACUGAUGCUGAUGCUGAUGAUGUGGUCGGGCUGUCACCUUUGCAUCGGUAGCCCUAUAAACACAGGUCGGGGGGGAGGGUAUUAGUAGGAUAAGCUUAGGAUGUUGGUUAAGCCCUUUCCUCGUCACCCGUCUCUGUCAACAGUUUUCUCCUCAGCCUCCAGAGCUGGUAGAGUCCAUCCUUGUUCUGCUCCAUCUCUUUUCUAUCAUCGUUAAAGAGGAAUGCUUCCAGUACCUCGUUGGGUUCUUCCACGUAUGGCCUCAGUAGAGCUAGUUUUCAUUGUCUUUCUUGUGUUAGCUUGGUACACUCUAGCAUAAAAUGGACUUCAUUUCCUUCUUCUUUUCCACAGAGCUUAAUCACCGUUAUCACCGCAUCCACCGUCUGCUCAAUGUGUGAGGAAUACGGAGACAAAGGCUGCUUGAUAAUUAAACAAGUUCUGUGCUUUCUCAGGAAGUCAGUACUUUGUUAGAUAUGUGAUGAGUUUAACGUAGACAAUUGCAGUCUUAUGUGUCGAUGAAACUAAAAGUCUUGGAAACAUAAUAAACUUAGCAUAACAUUCUGCCAUUGUGUUCAUGUGGCUGGCUUUGUCGUUUCUAUUGUAGGUACUAGGUAUGCUUUGUGGAUUCUGAGUUUUGACCAUAUUAUCUUCCACCAGGCUCAUUGCUGGCAGUGGUUCAGGAGACAGUCGUUCGAUUCCAGCUGUAGAGCGUCACCUGCAGGAAGUAGCAUUAUGAUGGCCAGCCACGUGGCGCGUGUAUCCAGCCACAUUGUCCAGAAACCAUCACAUCAUCUCCAGGUCACUGGUCGCGGGUGCUCGAGCUGACUGUGUCUUCAACGGCUCCACGGUGACCAGCGCCGCCACCGCCGAGACCAUCCGAUUCCUGAAAUGAUAAUGGCCGUCACGAACAAGAGGCUCUAUGCAUCUAGUUGCGAGUCAAGCGCCAUGCUCAGAGGCGUCAUCCGGAGAAGGCCGCACAGUGCACUUUAGGCUGAGCUCUGGUGUAGUGCGCGCUGACGGAUAGGAUGAAAUUACGGGCCGGCCAUCAGAUUUCAGUGCGGGGAUCAAGAUGGUCGGAGCCGACGUGGCUUGGUUGAUGGUGUGUCAGGGUCAGGGGUGGAGAAAUAGGCCGAGUAGCGGUUGCACGGGCGCAGCAAAUCCGCCGCCGCCCUAGCGGUGACCUUGACCGCCGCCGUCUGGUGCGGCUCCAAGGCCAAGCCGGCGCAGCCGGCGUGGAAUUGGGAAGGCUCGUGCUACCCCAACUCGGCACAAUUGUCCACCCCUGGUCAGGGUUGAUUGAAAGUGGAGGCGAGACGACCGGAUGUGAAGGAUACACCGAUACGGGUCUCGACGUCGUCUCGCAAUUUGUGCUAUGUAAUAUGACGGUUAUGCCGUGGUAUCAUUCACUCUCGAUGCGCUAAUAUGUAGUAAAUAGGACAGAGACUGGAAUUAAUAUUAUUAUAUUUGGAUGUAAGGGCCAGGUUUUGGCCAGCGCUAUAUUAGAAAUCGUGAGCGUGCUAGUUGCAAUCAAUCGCGCGCUUCUUGCUGAGCAUCUGUGAGCGAAAAAAUACUUUCUCUGGAACGUUCGUCGUAAAAUAUGUGUAUCUUUGGAAUAAGUUGUCAGAACAUGAAUGCAUUUUUGGUGUCCACUGCAGCUGCUGUUCUGGAACAGAAACAUACCGAGAUCGGCUGUGUAUGUACUAUGUACGCUGUGGCAAAAUCAAGCAGCCGGGCCACGAGUCAAAAGCGAUAUGUGAAUUAAAGUUGAUAUAUUUCACUAUUUUAAACAACUAAACGCCUGCGAUCACUGGAAAGUAAAUAAACAAUAGAUACCCAU